AAUUAUUAUAGAUAGACCUGGUUUAUAGAUGUGUAAUAAGAAUCGGCCUAUCUCCUUUGG
rnacentral:sRNA from 1 species